GACCUUGCGCAGUGGCAAUAUCGUAACCAAUGAAGGCCUCCUGAGGUGCGAUUAUUGCUAGUUGAAAACGGACGUGUUGGUGAUGAAAGUAGUGAGAAGGAGUGGUCGAUUUAGAUCUGCAAUAUUUGGUGAUAGACCCAGCAUAAAACACGAGAAAAAUUAUA
rnacentral:snRNA from 1 species